rnacentral:rRNA from 1 species
UACGGGGGGGGCAAGCGUUGUUCGGAAUUACUGGGCGUAAAGGGCUCGUAGGCGGCCAACUAAGUCAGACGUGAAAUCCCCAGGCUCAACCUGGGAACUGCGUCUGAUACUGGAUGGCUUGAGUUUGGGAGAGGGAUGCGGAAUUCCAGGUGUAGCGGUGAAAUGCGUAGAUAUCUGGAGGAACACCGGUGGCGAAGGCGGCAUCCUGGACCAACACUGACGCUGAGUGAGCGAAAGCCAGGGGAGCAAACGGG